GGUGGGAGCGGGCGUCGGGGGAGUCGGCCCGCGGGCAGGAAGUGGCCCGUGCCGCCGCCGCCCGAGCGCUUCCGGAGCACCUACUGUGUGCUGGGGGCCGGGGCCCGAAAGCAGAAAUAGUGCAAAAGCCCGGCCGGUGCGAGGCCGCCCCCAGCCAGGGCCCCCGUGGGCGGCGGGGCUGCCCACUGCGCCGAAAGGACAGAAACUGAGGCCCGGUUAGCCCGGGGUUUUUCCCCCCAGCUGCACUGCUCCUUCUGGUGGAAAAUCCCAAGCAACUGUAUGCCUGUCACCAGGAGCUGACUGGUUACAGCAGCACUGGAGCCUCUGUACAGGAGAAGUGUAUAGCGGGACACUGAGGUUUAUCACCAUCUUUCCAAUGGCAUGAAGAUGCAAUCAAUACCAUGUCUGUGUUAUGAAGGAGAUCUUGGGCUUCACUGGUCACUGUGCCCCCAGCACUCUGUUACAAACUCUGGAGCCUGUCUGGAAGGGACAUACUAAGUUGAGAUCUGAUGCUGGAGAAGGAAAGACCUAGACAACAGACAAAGAGAGAUCUGACCUUCAGGCCCUGGAAAUGCUUCAUGAUCGGUGUGGCACCUCCUAUCAUUGUAACUGAUCUCUGGUCACCACUGCACGGACGCCUACCAUUUGAGCGUCAUGCCUUUGAUGGUAAGGAGCUGGACACCUGAAGGUAGCAGGGAUCCAGACAAGCCUGAGCUCUGAUUCUAGCUCUGCCAUUUACCAGUUGUGUGGCCCCAGGGAGUGGUUAUAUCAUAGAGAUUAAGGCCUAAAUAUCUCCAAGGAAGUAGGGCUUUGGUGGAAUUUUCUGCCUUAGAGAGGAAGAGUCAAACUCUAAUCUUUUAGGGUAGCUUGACUU